GACGAACGCUGGCGGUGUGCCUCACACAUGCAAGUCGAGCGGACGAAGAUUGAAGCUUGCUUCAGUCCAAGUUAGCGGCGGACGGGUGAGUAACACGUAGGAAUCUGCCUUCAGGCGGGGGACAACGGAACGAAAGUUGCGCUAAUACCCCAUAUGCGAGUAAUCGUAAAAGGAGCAAUCCACCGGAAGAUGAGCCUGCGUCCGAUUAGCUAGUUGGUAGGGUAAAAGCCUACCAAGGCUACGAUCGGUAGUUGGUCUGAGAGGAUGAUCAGCCACAAUGGAACUGAGACACGGUCCAUACUCCUACGGGAGGCAGCAGUGGGGAAUUUUACGCAAUGGGCGAAAGCCUGACGUAGCGACACCGCGUGAGCGAAGAAGCCUUUUGGGGUGUAAAGCUCUGUCAGCUGGAACGAACACAAUGACGGUACCAGCAGAGGAAGCAUCGGCUAACUCCGUGCCAGCAGCCGCGGUAAAGUCUAGC
rnacentral:rRNA from 1 species